AAGAUUGGCCGAGAGGCCUCAUCUCUAUAUCCCUCACCUCUGUGAACCGUGGACCCUCGGGUCUAUAUACCUACAAACAUCAGUGUAAUGAACGUAUGUGACAUUAACAAAACA
rnacentral:misc_RNA from 1 species